rfam:Stegodyphus mimosarum contig92032, whole genome shotgun sequence.
GCUUUCGUGGUGUAGUGGUCAGCACGCUCGACACGUAUUCUAGAGAUUCGUGGUUCGAGUCCCGACGAAAGCA